UUUCCGUAGGUGAACCUGCGGAAGGAUCAUUACUGAGUGAGGGCCCCUCGGGGUCCAACCUCCCACCCGUGUUUAACGAACCUUGUUGCUUCGGCGGGCCCGCCUCACGGCCGCCGGGGGGCAUCUGCCCCCGGGCCCGCGCCCGCCGAAGCCACCUGUGAACGCUGUCUGAAGUAUGCAGUCUGAGACAAUUAUUAAAUUAAUUAAAACUUUCAACAACGGAUCUCUUGGUUCCGGCAUUGAUGAAGAACGCAGC
rnacentral:misc_RNA from 1 species